UUUUCAAGAACGUUUUCAUGCCAAAUUUGCCCUUUGAAACUUGUCCAAUCAGAGAAUGUUUUUUAUCUUUGUAUCCCAUUGUGGGAGAUGUCACAAAUGAACGUACAGAUUUCCAGAUUUUGUUUAGGGACGCCGGAAAAUACCGGCAAUGCUUGAACAAGCUUUCAAUAGCUGAAGACUAUUCAAAGUUUUAGCUCAUUGAGAGAAGCUUUCAAGUCAAAAAAUUAUUGUCGAGAAGGACGAUAUCUAUUUCAACUUAAUAAAGCAACCAGGAAAUCAAGUAGCUUCGCUCGAUUUGUUGACAGCGAGUUCUGAAUGCCGCUCUUUCCUCCUAAUUACAAUCUGUAGGAAGCGUUUAGCCCUUGAUUGACGCUUACAAUACGACAUUUCCAGAAAAUAUAUAUUCUCUCAUUAGCUGAACAUAGCGAUGAGCACAUGAAGCACUUGUACUUAGGGCUUUCAUUGACAUUUUUUCCAGUCUGUCAUGAUCGUAGCCUGCGAACACCGCCUACAUUUUGGCAAUGUGCGGCGUGAAACAAAAGCCAGAAAUCCUUCGUGUGUUCGCACUGCAGACCUUUUCGUGCGAAAGCUUACGUCAUUCACACUUUGCUAUUAUGUGAUUGGUCCGUUCAACAGAGCGCGAGCAAACCACAAACAAAAGGAAAAGGAUGUGGUUUGGAUGUGAGCAGCCGUUUCUUUGGGGGGAAUGUUGCAUGACAUCCCAAAAAACGGCUGCGGAGGAGACUAAGGUUGCAGUUGCUCUUAAAUAGAAUUUCAAGCCUUCAAAGUCUUCUCACUUCAUGUGCGAGAUGUCAAACUUUUAAAUAACACAAAAUAUAGAAGAAACAACUGAGUGACAACACGGGUUUGCACAUGGUGUGUUCUCUUUACCUUUUUAACUGAUAUGUCAGUGAGGGCUAGUUUUCAUUUUGUUGACUUAAAGCAGUAUAAGACCAAAGCUGUUUCUUUGUCCUGUUAUAUUUUCAAUAUUCGAGGGUUAACACAGGGUUUUCAAAUUGAAAUACAGUUGCAGGAUUGGGUGUCGAUAAAGGUGGCGUUGUGGGGAAGAGUGCCAGAGUGUGGUACCCCCUCCUACGUGGGGGGGGGGGGGAUGGGGUGCUGGCCUUGGACAAUUUUGACAAUCUGUUUGCCUUAAUAUGCAUUAUGGUACAUUUUGAGCACCUGAAUGUGAUAUUGUUGGAGACCAAUGUGCACUUAACAAAAGUUUAUUGAAAACUCACUCAUUGUGAGAUAAAUUUUUUCACAAGUUAGUUCAUGUAUUAAAUGCUACAUUAUACUUUUCAUUCCACUGAUACUUGUUACACGACAGUAUCAUGUUUGGCUUGGACUUCUAACUGUAAUAACAUGAAUCAACUGUAAUUUUAUUAUUAUUACUUCAAUUAUGCAGCUUCGAGAAAAAAAAAGUAUCAAUAUCAAGAUCGUUUUUAUUAGUUUUCGUAAUGAAAAAGAGCUGCUGAUAAAUAAGGUCCAUUAUGGUGAAAAGAUUAAGGCAACUUCUGGUGAUAUCUCUCCUGUCGCACACAUGAGGUACCAGUGUAAAAUCAUUGAUCUAUUUUUUUUUUUGCUUUGAUUGAUUGUAUAAAUUCCGAAAACUCUUGUUGUUGAAAGGCUUGCAACACCCUUCAAAUUGUUACUUAGAAUAUAUUUGGUGCACUUUGACCUUAAUGAAUAACAUUUCCCAAGGAAGAUUGCCUUCACAUUCUCCACACAGAUGCAUAGAGGGCUAAGGUCAAUAUGUGGUCAAUUCAGGUUAAUUGUAAGCUGAUUAUUUUAUAGUUGCUUUCAAAACUGCUCAGCACAUAAUAGUUAUUUACCUUUUUGCCUUAAUGACUUCUUGACAUUGGCAAUAAAGACAGCAUACAUGUAGUCUGUUGCCUCUGCUUCAUUGUGGAAAAUUUGCACUUACCAACAAAUCUGAUACAUAUAUGAUAUGGAACUUACAUGAGGUCCAAUUGGAGAAAUAUUGGUCAAGUUCUUUUUUUUGGAAGGUUAAUUGGACUUAAACUUGCAAAUAAAAUGAGUCCAAUAUCCUCCAACACGGACUUAAUGAGCUACAUGUAGGUCAAUAUAAUAUUUAUUAUAAUGGCUCUUUAUGAUCUGCUGAUACGUUUAUGCAUCUCCACAAUCCAUUCUCGAAAUAUGCACACGUGAAAGGCAUAAAUAUAUAUGCUAUUUUUUUUCUACAGGAUUGCUUUAAAAGCAAAGUUUGUGUCGAAGUUUUAUUAAAGACAUUCAAUUCAAAUCUGGUGUAUAUGUGUGCAUUUGACAUUUCGGGCACAGGAAUUGCCAAUUGUUGCUCCUGAGAAAAAGCCUUUGUUCUUCAAACUUGAUGCUUCUUGCCCUUGAAAUGGCAAUUCGGUUGUUUUGGGUACUUGAAUCUCUGAGUUGCCCUUAGAGUCAGUAGUGGUGGACCCAAUUAAGAACCAUUCACAUUCGUCGCUGAUGUCUUUGAGAUGCUGACUUGUAUGCAUCUAAACUUAUGAGGUUUGUAUGACCGCUGAGUUGGGCUACAUAAUUGUCUGCGAGGUUAGCAUCCAUUAAGUGGGAUAUGCAAGUUUUCCUUAGGGAGUGGUUACUGAGAUUUCCAGGCAGUCCAGUGGCUUUGGCAGCGUUCACGAGGAAUUUUCCAAUCGCAUUCUUACUGAGAGGACUGUUAAAGUACCACAUUAGGAAUCCUAGCUUUCUCUUAUGGUUGAUAGCCAAAAAACAGCAUUCAUUAUGACAUGCAUUCUGAGAAUAAAAAGGCAGAAAGAAAAAACAAAAUCGAAAAAUAACAGAUAAGUCAGAAACAGGCUUUAAUUUCAGUACAAAUAGACACAAGCAUGCAUUUUAUCCAUUUUUAUGCUGGAAGAUACGUUAAAUAAGUGAUUGUAUUGAUACAACUAUGGGAAUAGCUAUUUAACUUUGGUCAUGGAAAACUCAGAAAAGUCAUGGAAAAGGUCAUGGAAAGUCAUGGAAUUUUGAAAGAUGAAAAGAGUAAGAACUUUGUAGAAGGACAUGCAGGGUCAGGCAUUCUACCACACCUGUCAUCUGUUCUUCUGUGAAAGUGCUAGGGGUCAGUUGAGAUAUAUCACUUUCACUGAGGGUCUCACCUCUAAAUCGUCAAUUCUUCUAGGCAGGCUUCUGGCAAACAGCUUGUGCAUUGUGGCUUCAUCAAGCAUUUGAAUGACUUCCUAAAAGAGCAUUAUGGAGGUAAUCACCAAUGAAGCAAAGUAUUUUGUGCCAGCAAAAUUAAGUGUUGUAAUUGAUUUAUUUUAGCUAGGGCCAACAACUGUCCCAAAGAAGUUUGACAGCUUGUUAGCAGGUACAGAGUUUUUGCCAAGUGGGCAUUGAAAUAUAAAAAUUUAAGUGUUGGAACAAAGCAAAUCUUGCCUUGCUAAACUUAAUGCAUUUGAAUUGGUGGUGUUCAAGCUUUGAUUUUUGUGUUUAUUCCAUAUUUAGGUAUAUUUUUGUUCCUGGAAUAAUAAUAAAUAAAUGAAAAUAUAUUUCUAUUCAAGCAGAUCUUCACAUCUCUAUUUUCUUUUAUCCUGCCCUGCUCCUCACUUGGCCUGUUGUUAGUCUGGUAUGGCUGUGUUCUUCAGGCAACAAAUGAAGUUGUACUUGCACCAGCCUUGAUAAGAAAAAAACAGUGAUGUCGAAGCUGUUGUACAAUGUAUAUGAAAAAUCAAGCUCUCCUAGAAACCUUUUCAUCUCAAGAGAAGGACAAUUCAAACUGCAAAAACUCGAAACUGCUUGGUGAAAUGUUUGGCCUAAAUGAAAGAGACAUGCUGUAAACAUGAAUAUGAAGACUUGAACACAAACAGAACCAAAAAUAGCCAGAAAUCUAAUUGUUCCAUUUGUGUGCAGCCUUCAAUGCCUACUUACAAACAAUGUUACAUCAAAGUGCAUAAAUAAGGAGUCUCACCUUGUGUGGACUCAGAUUUGCUGUCAAACCACAUGUGCACUCAGUUUCGCAUCUUGCAAGGACAGCCACAAUUUGCAUUUGUUUUCCGCCGUGGAACAAGUGCUUUCACACGAACAGGAGAUGCGAUUUUCCUAAGAGGAUAACAAGAGGUACAAAAAGAAAGUAGAUGUUGCGUCACAGCAUAUUCCCAGAAACUAUGAAACAAUUCACACAUUCAAAUCUGUCACAUAGUGGAGUCAAUGGCAACUCACCACUGUAGUCUCUCUUGCCUCUUCUCCGUCCAUAAUUUAGCCUCUGCAAUAAAAUAAAUAGAUUGACGAAAAGAAAUUCACACAUGUGACAAAAGACGUAAUAAUUUUAACCAAGAAGGGCUAAAUUCGCACAAAAUUUCACAACUCUGAUAAAUUCAAGAUGGCGGAUGCAUUUCAAUCUCAGUGAGAAGGGAGCCAAAUCUCACAUAUGGGUGGGUUGUGACAUGGCUCCUUUAAAAUCUUGUGAAUAUUUUAAUGGGCGAAAUCACAAGGUUUUCAUGCACUUUUAACAGGUUUUUCAUGGUGUUAAUUCCAGGGUUUUCAUGGGAAAAAUCCCAGGGAGAAAAGCAUUUAAAAUCCCAUGAAAAUCCUCUAAAAAAUUCCCAAUUAAGGGCCCAUGAAAUUUCCAUUCUGAAAUAAGAAACAUUAAAAAUCCAUGAAAAUGCCAUUAAACUUGAUUGGGGCAUGAACUGUAGUUAAAUGGGAUUUCAUGGUAUGGGUACACAAACCAGGAAACUCACCACCAUAUUUUCAUGGUGUUUACUUCAUGGGAUUUUAAUGGCAUGAUCCAUGAAAACCCCAUUACCAGGGAAUUUUUAAUGGCCCAUGAAAAUGUCCUCACUAAUUAAAAUGUGUCAACCCUUGAGUUGAACAGUAACAAUUUUUGCGGCAACUGAUCUUAUCUGUGAAAUCGUGUUUCGCCUCUUUUGUUUAUCCCUUACGUCUUGCAAUUUCUUGUACAGAAAUCUAUGCUUUUGCUUGAUUGUUUUCGUCUCCUAAGUGACAGACAUUUGAAUGCAAGGGCAAAUCGCAAGUGAAUGUUUGGUUGAUGCCCUGCUCUAGCUUCUUCUCGCACAGAAGUUGAUUGCCGCGGAAUUACCGGCGAAUUUAAUCGCUGAUAUCUGACAAGGCAACCUCUCCAAACGCUUCGUUCCUCUGCUUCGAAGAGUGUUUUUCCACAUUCUAGUAAAAGAAACAGCCUGAUGAAUUAAGCGUUUAGUUUUUUUUAAAAUGUGUAAAUAUCUGCACUCGACUGAGUAGGCUUGUUCAAGGCUAUUCCGCUGUCAUUCCUCUUUUUCCCCUUUUUCUUCUUUACCAUUUAUCUGCUGAUUCAUUGUAUAAGCUGCUGAAUGUUUCAUGGCGAAGCAUUUCUGUAGCCCGCUGGGGAGUUCAAAGCUGUGUUUUAUUGGUUGGCGGCAUGGCCAUGUUGACAACCGCUUCAGUGAGGUGUGAAAACUGUGAAUUUCUUUCGAGGUUGAAAACUCGAUAUUUAUUUUGGUGUGAACUAGCUCUAUUCAAGUGAAUUAAUGGGUAUGUAGAUUUAUCAGGUUUUAACGAAACUUGGCCAAAAUCUUUUGCAGAUAUUAUUGCACUUAAGUCUGUGAGGCUUUUGCAAAAAUCAAAAUAUUUGUCCUGUGACGUCUCAUUGAGUAACAGCAGUCAGAAAAUUUUCCAUUGUCCAACCUUAAAAGAAAUUUCCUAAGCAGCCAGUAGAAAUAUCAAAAAAGCCUCACAUACUUUGUUAGCCCAUGAACUCCUGAUGUGUGGAUGUCUGCCGUAACACAAAGGCUGGUAAUUCAGUUUAUGUUCAAAGUAGUGCUGAUGAAGUUGGUGGAAUGCCAAAGAUUGAACAUACAUGAUUGUGAUUCCAUAGUUUUGCAGUGCUCUGAGUUUCUUGAUCUGGCAAUUAAGGUGGAGACAUCAACCUUCAAAGAAUUCAUCUUCAAGGGAGACAAGCUGGGUAUAUUUCUGUAGAAACACAUUGGUUCUGUUAGUUCACUGUCUAAAUUAUGGAAUCUGCUGAGAGAACUCUUGAUUCUUUCCCAUGGUCAAGCAACUGUCGAGGAAGGUUUUUCAGUAAACUGGCAUGUCAUGAUCAAAAACAUGAAAGAACAAACUUUCACUGCACAGCAUGAAAUUUAUGGCCACAAUCAGAGCAUUGGAGGGUUAGUGCAGGGAGACAACGUUACUUUGCCUCUCUUGAAGAGCAGAAGAAAGAGCAACAGCAAGCACCUCAAAACAGGAAGCUAAAAAUAGUUCUUGAGGAAAAAGCUGAGUUAGAGAAAAAGAGAAAGUGCCUUGCCAGUAUAUCAGUGCCUUGCAACUUGAUGCAGACUCUCUAGCAAAAGAAGCUGAGGAAAAGGCCAAGCUUGUACUCCUCCUCAAGUCUAAUGCGCUGAGAAAAGCAGCAAAAGAAAAGGAGAGUGCCCUAGAGAAAAUUGAAGAUGAACUUAGAGAGAUGGCCAAGAAGAGUGCUAACUUGUGAAGCUGCA